CCGUUUCUGUACGUGUUGUGUUUGAGAGGGCAAGCGUUGAGAUUACCUGUUGCGAUAGAACAAAUUGUGUGAGGAAAUUUGAGCUGACAGUGCUUCUUUGAUCUCUACAAGAAGUCAACUGGGCCACCUCAUGGGCACACUUGCAACACCUACGACCACCUACGACCAUGGACUGUUCGGUGCCAACAUGGCAAACGAAACGUGGGAGACGAGCUUUGUUUCACAUCCCCAACUCUUAACAACAACUAUUUUCUCUGCAUUGCCGCAGCAGCAUCGAAGCAACGACAGGCUCCAGGCUCGCUCUGUGUCGGGACGCGCUUGUUGGUGAACAGACAGGGCACGAAGAAAACAGUCAGGCUCUUGAGAGAAGAAUCUUUCAUUCAGCACAAUGAUGGCU